rnacentral:rRNA from 2 species
UGCAGUCGAGCGGACAGAUGGGAGCUUGCUCCCUGAUGUCAGCGGCGGACGGGUGAGUAACACGUGGGUAACCUGCCUGUAAGACUGGGAUAACUCCGGGAAACCGGGGCUAAUACCGGAUGCUUGAUUGAACCGCAGGUUCAAUUAUAAAAGGUGGCUUUUAGCUACCACUUACAGAUGGACCCGCGGCGCAUUAGCUAGUUGGUGAGGUAACGGCUCACCAAGGCAACGAUGCGUAGCCAACCUGAGAGGGUGAUCGGCCACACUGGGACUGAGACACGGCCCAGACUCCUACGGGAGGCAGCAGUAGGGAAUCUUCCGCAAUGGACGAAAGUCUGACGGAGCAACGCCGCGGGAGUGAUGAAGGUUUUCGGAUCGUAAAACUCUGUUGUUAGGGAAGAACAAGUACCGUUCGAAUAGGGCGGUACCUUGACGGUACCUAACCAGAAAGCCACGGCUAACUACGUGCCAGCAGCCGCGGUAAUACGUAGGUGGCAAGCGUUGUCCGGAAUUAUUGGGCGUAAAGCGCGCGCAGGCGGUUUCUUAAGUCUGAUGUGAAAGCCCCCGGCUCAACCGGGGAGGGUCAUUGGAAACUGGGGAACUUGAGUGCA